AACGAACGCUGGCGGCAUGCCUAACACAUGCAAGUCGAACGAGACCUUCGGGUCUAGUGGCGCACGGGUGCGUAACGCGUGGGAACCUGCCCUUAGGUUCGGAAUAACUCCCCGAAAGGGGUGCUAAUACCGGAUAAUGUCCUCGGACCAAAGAUUUAUCGCCUUUGGAUGGGCCCGCGUUGGAUUAGCUGGUUGGUAGGGUAAAAGCCUACCAAGGCGACGAUCCAUAGCUGGUCUGAGAGGAUGCUCAGCCACACUGGGGCUGAGACACGGCCCAGACUCCUACGGGAGGCAGCAGUGGGGAAUAUUGGCCAAUGGGCUAAAGCCUGAUCCAGCAGUGCCGCGUAAGUGAUGAAGGCCUUAGGGUUGUAAAGCUCUUUUACCCGGGAUGAUAAUGACAGUACCGGGAGAAUAAGCUCCGGCUAACUCCGUG
rnacentral:rRNA from 1 species